rnacentral:rRNA from 1 species
CGUGUAGGCGGUGCGGUAAGUUGGGCGUGAAAUCCCCGAGCUUAACUCGGGUGGGCCGUUCAAGACUGCCGUGCUAGGGUGCGGGAGAGGGAAGUGGAAUUUCCGGUGUAGCGGCGAAAUGCGUAGAUAUCGGGAGGAACACCUGCGGCGAAGGCGGCUUCCUGGACCGUAACCGACGCUGAGGCGCGAAAGCUAGGGGAGCAAACAGGAUUAGAUACCCUGGUAGUCCUAGCCCUAAACGAUGAGCACUGGGUGUGGCCCCUCACGAGGCCGUGCCGAAGCUAACGCAUUAAGUGCUCCGCCUGGGGAGUACGGUCGCAAGGCUGAA